GUGGGCUGACGGUGAAGCAAACACAGAUUUUUACGGGCCGCCGACCUCAACAUCCUACCGAAAUUAGGGUUUACGCUUUCGCUCCUCUUUAUAAAGAAGUUUCCGAUGAGGAAGAAGUCCCCAAUAAAGAUAGGAAGUGCCGUAUGACACUUUAAACAGCAUYGGAUUACGGCAGCGCGUGUUCCCAUCCACCAAUUGACUGGCCCUCCGAUCAUUAACCCGAUCUUAGAGCUGUGUUCGUUGGUCGGGAUUCGUGUUUGUGCCUCUUCCGGUGUGUGUGUGAUUUGUAACGGGUCUCCUGAGGUAUCUUCACAUAGAUUUGUUUUUAAACUGGUUCGAUGCCACGUCGACGGUAGCCAAAAGUGCAUUGACCGACGAUGCUAUGAUUGAACCGAUAACAAGGCUUUGUGUCUUUCGCAUUUUAUAGGAACCUGUGAACUGAUUGAUUUCCGUUCAUUCACAGAGCCGUUUUUUGCGAUUACAUUCU